AGCGGCAUCAUCGGCUCCUUCUUCCUAUAGCCGCAUGAAAAAAAGGCCGUCUCCGAAAAUGAUCGGAGACGGCCUUUUUUUUCAUCGCUUCAAUUUUUCGGAUGAGCCUUCAGCCACG
rnacentral:sRNA from 1 species